rnacentral:misc_RNA from 1 species
UCUCCGUUGGUGAACCAGCGGAGGGAUCAUUACAGGGUUGCAAAACUCCCAAACCCUUGUGAACGUUACCUAUCCCGUUGCUUCGGCGGGCGGCCCGGGCCCCGCGCCCGGCGCCCCCCGGCCCCCCGUGGGCGCCCGCCGGAGGUAAACCAAACCCUUGAAUUGCAUGGCCUCUCUGAGUCUUCUGUACUGAAUAAGUCAAAACUUUCAACAACGGAUCUCUUGGUUCUG